GCCAGGCGUGGUGGCGUGUGCCUGUAAUCCCAGCUACUUGGGAGGCUGAGGCAGGAGAAUUGCUUGAACCCGGGAGGCGGAGGCUGCAGUGUGCCACUGCACUCCAGCCUGGGCAACAGAGUGAGACUCUGUCUCAA
rnacentral:SRP_RNA from 1 species